rnacentral:rRNA from 1 species
UACAGAGGUCCCAAGCGUUGUUCGGAUUCACUGGGCGUAAAGGGCGCGUAGGCGGGCGGUCAAGUCAGGGGUGAAAUCUUUCGGCUCAACCGGAAAAGUGCCUUUGAUACUGGCCGUCUCGAGGGAGGUAGGGGCAUGCGGAACUUCCGGUGGAGCGGUGAAAUGCGUAGAUAUCGGAAGGAACGCCGGUGGCGAAAGCGGCGUGCUGGACCUCUUCUGACGCUGAGGCGCGAAAGCCAGGGGAGCAAACGGG